GUGGAUCGGAGAGCUGCUCUCUCCCCCAGACUAGGUCAUCAUUAGACCGAACUGGGUAAACAAAUAUCUUGUGUUCUUUCUCUCUCUCUCUCCUUUUAUCUCUUGCUGGUUUUGUUUGGAUUAAUUGCUACCCGCUUGUUUUGAUUACUUGAUAUUAAUUUGCUCCACACAUCAAGUUUUUAUUGGUGUGGUUUUCUCAACGAAUUCACAACAU
rnacentral:lncRNA from 1 species